GACGAACGCUGGCGGCGUGCUUAACACAUGCAAGUCGAACGGAAAGGCCCUGCUUUUGUGGGGUGCUCGAGUGGCGAACGGGUGAGUAACACGUGAGUAACCUGCCCUUGACUUUGGGAUAACUUCAGGAAACUGGGGCUAAUACCGGAUAGGAGCUCCUGCUGCAUGGUGGGGGUUGGAAAGUUUCGGCGGUUGGGGAUGGACUCGCGGCUUAUCAGCUUGUUGGUGGGGUAGUGGCUUACCAAGGCUUUGACGGGUAGCCGGCCUGAGAGGGUGACCGGCCACAUGGGGACUGAGAUAGGGCCGGCACGCCCGCGGGGGGGAGCAGUGGGGAAUAUGGCAGAAGGGGCGGAGGCCUGAUGCAGCAACGCCGGGGGGGGGAGGAGGGCCUUCGGUUUGAAAACCACUUCCGCCUGUGACGAAGCGUGAGGGAGGGUAAUGGGUAAAGAAGCCCGGGCUAACUACGUG
rnacentral:rRNA from 1 species